AUUGAACGCUGGCGGCGUGCUUAACACAUGCAAGUCGUGCGGUAACAGGCGUAGCAAUACGUGCUGACGAGCGGCGAACGGGUGCGUAAUACAUGGGAAUCUGCCUUUUAGUGGGGAAUAACCCGGCGAAAGCCGGGCUAAUGCCGCAUAAGAUCUUCGGAUGAAAGCGGGGGAUCGUAAGACCUCGCGCUGAUGGAUGAGCCCAUGCCGGAUUAGCUAGNGGUGAGGUAACGGCUCACCAAGGCGACGAUCCGUAGCUGGUCUGAGAGGACGGCCAGCCACACUGGGACUGAGACACGGCCCAGACUCCUACGGGAGGCAGCAGUGGGGAAUAUUGGACAAUGGGGAAACCCUGAUCCAGCGACGCCGCGUGUG
rnacentral:rRNA from 1 species